UGUAAUGUCGGUGUAUAUGUGCGGGCGAGAAGAUAGCGGCGUGGGGGGAAGCGUGUGAGCAGCCGGAGGAGCGCCGAGUCCCAUUCAAACGCGCCGCCAUGGCCUCCACAGUCCGCAGUAUAUUUUUGGAGAUUUUAGCCCUGAUGAGUUCAAUCAGCUCUUUGUGACGCCUCGAUCUUCAGUUGAGCUUCCUCCAUUUAGUGGAACAGUUCUGUGUGGCACAGAUCAACUACCUGAUGGACAAGAAUAUCAGAGAAUUGAGUUUGGUGUCAGUGAAGUCAUUGAACCCAGUGACACUUUGCCGAGAACCCCCAGCUACAGUAUUUCAAGCACAUUGAACCCUCAGGCCCCUGAAUUUAUUCUCGGUUGUACAACUUCCAAAACGACCCCUGAUGGUGUCACUAAAGAAGCAAGCUACGGCUCCAUUGACUCAGUACCCAGGCUCUGCCCUCGCUUUGGAUGGAGGUUCUAAUGUGGAGGUGGAAGUUUUGGAAAAUGAUGGUGUCUCAGGUGGUCUUGGACAAAGGGAACGUAAAAAGAAGAAAAAGCGGCCACCUGGAUACUACAGCUAUUUGAAAGAUGGUGGUGAUGAUGAUAUUUCCACAGAGGCCCUGGUCAAUGGCCAUGCCAGUUCAGCAGUCCCGAAGACUGUCAGCACGGAGGAUGCAGAAUUCAUGGGGGACAUGCCCCCAUCAGUGACGCCCAGGACUUGUAACAGCCCCCAGAACUCCACGGACUCUGUCAGUGACACUGCCUGACAGUCCUUUCCCCGGAGCACUUGGCAGUGACGCCAGGACUGCAGGGCAGUUGGAGGGGGGCCCUGGGGCUGAUUUUGGUCAGUCCUCCUUCCCUGCAGAGGCUGGCAGAGACACCCUGUCAAGGACAGCUGGGGCUCAGCCCUGCGUUGGUACCGAUACUACUGAAAACCUUGGAGUUGCUAAUGGACAAAUACUUGAAUCUUCGGGCGAGGGCACAGCUGCCAACGGGGUGGAGCUACAUACCACGGAAAGCGUAGACAUGGACCGCAUCAAACCUGAGAGUGCGUCGCCUCCCGCUGACGGCACGGGCUCUGCAUCAGGCUCCCUUCCUGUCAGCCAGCCCAGGUCCUGGGCCCGUCUCUUUCAUGAUUCUAAGCCCUCUUCCUCCUCGCCGCUGGCCUAUGUGGAAACUAUGUAUUCCCCUCCCGCCAUAUUUCCCCUGGUUUCUGAAAAGCAGGUUGAAGUGAAAGGGCUUGCUCCAGUUUCAGAGGAUCCUGUAGCCAUAAGGAUUGCAGUGUUACUGGAGAAUGUAACCCUGAUCCAUAAAGCAGCGUCACUGCAACCCCGCGGGCUGAUCAGUAAAGGAAACUGGUUCUACAUUGGCGCUACACUGCAGGCACUGCUGGCUUGCCCUCCCAUGUAUCACCUGAUCAAGUUCAUUCCUCUGUGUUCCAAAGCGCAAAGGUCUUGUACGUCGACCCCCGUGAUAGACAGCUUUGUCCGGCUAAUGAAUGAGUUUACUAAUACGCCGGUACCUCCGAAACCCCGACAAGCUCUUGGAGAUAAAAUGGCCAGGGAUAUUCGCCCUGGAGCUGCCUUUGAGCCCACGUAUAUUUACAGACUCCUGACGGUUCACAAGUCAAGCCUGUCUGAAAAGGGUCGACAAGAAGAUGCUGAGGAAUAUUUAGGCUUCAUUCUAAAUGGACUCCACGAGGAAAUGGUGAACCUGAAGAAGCGUCUCUCACCAAAUAAUGAAAAACUUACGAUUUCCAAUGGCCCCAAAAACCACUCGGUCCGUGAAGAAGAGCAGGAAGAACACGGGGAAGGAAGUGAGGACGAAUGGAAGCAAGUGGGCCCCCGAACAAGACGUCCGUCACCCGCCAGGCGGAUUUUGUUCAGACCCCAAUCACCGGCACUUUUGGUGGACACAUCAGGUCUGUCGUUUACCAGCAGAGUUCAAAAGAAUCGGCCACUUUGCAGCCAUUUUUCACGUUGCAGCUGGUUAUCCAGUCUGACAAGAUACGCACAGUCCGGGAUGCACUGGAGAGCUUGGUGGCAAGAGAAUCUGUCCAAGGUUAUACCACAAAAAACCAACAAGAGGCUGAGAUAAGUCGAAGAGUGACUCUGGAAAAGCUCCCUCCUGUUCUCGUGCUACACCUGAAACGGUUUGUUUACGAGAAGACUGGUGGAUGACAGAAGCUCAUCAAAAAUAUUGAAAAUCCUGUGGACUUGGAGAUUAGUAAAGAACUACUUUCUGCAGGGGUUAAAAUAAGAAUUUUAAAUGCCACGGAACCUAUCGGCUCUUUGCAGUAGUGGUCUACCAUCAUGGCAGCAGCGCGACAGGCGGGCAUUACACUUCAGACGUCUUCCAGAUCGGUCUGAAUGGCUGGCUGCGCAUGGAUGACCAGACAGUCAAGGUGAUCAACCAGUACCAGGUGGUGAGACCCACUGCUGAACGCACACCCUACCUCCUGUAUUACCGCCCAGUGGACCUGCUGUAGACCCCCUGUGCGCCGUGUGUGCCCCAUGCCUGCUUCCUAGGACACCAACUCACACUAA